AUAUACAACGAUACAAAUUUAUUUUUCAUCACAUCGACUGUAAAAAGUAUUUUAUACAGGUAUCUAUCACGUAGGUGGGUAGAACAGAUUUUUUUUUCGAAAAAAAACCCUAACUCAUCGCGCUUAAUCCAGGUGUAAAGCACGUGUAAACUCGUUUUCAAAACGCAUUCAAUGUUGAUUCGCGUAUAAUAUUCAACCUUUACUCUAUAAUGGGAAUUGAUAUUUUUGACGAAUAUAUCCCAAAAAUAGAAAACAUUCGCAUUGUCGAUGAUCCGGAACUAUAUGAUAAUAAUAGCUACCAGUGCGUAUAAACAGUCGGUGGCAAACGCAUUAACUCAAAGCGCAAUAAGUUAAGUUGCACCACUACGCGUACAAAUUUCUAUCGGAAAAGAGAAUUAUUAUAGGAAACCUACUUAUAUGUUUUCUAAAAUUAAAAUAAUCAAAAUGAUAUUCAUACAAGUCAUUCAUUUCUCGUAUUUUACUAUACAGACAAAUUAUUAUAAUAUUAUCUUAACC